ensembl:lncRNA
CUGGAGAUUGCUCCUUGUGGAGUUUCUGUGAGCCUACAACACCGGGGGCUGGCUGGUUUACAGAUGGAUGAACUCAUUGAGAACCCUAGCACCUGAGCCCUGAGUUCAAUUUAAUAUUGUAGCCUACAGCACUUUGCCGCUACUGCAUGCAACCUCAUGACAAGAAUUACUGAAGGAAGGUCUCUGCAAUGAAGGAGCCAAACAUCUUCUGUUCCUUGCAGUAGAAAUGGCAAACAUCCAGGAGCAGAGAUGGUUGGGGUCUCCAGCCCUGGCUGGCUGUUACAAUGAGGAAUCAAAAUCUACCAGCAGGCAACAGGCAGGCACUCUCCUCAGGAAGUAACUCAGCACUCGGAUGCUUCUUCUGAAGAUUGUGUGCCUGAACUUCCCCUUUCAAGGGCUGCUUAUCUUAUCAGCUGGGUUAAAGCGCAUUCACCAUGAGGAGGGACAUCUUCAUUCCCAGAUCUCCCUCCAGCCUUGCCCUCCCUUCAUCUGUCAGCCCUCAGCUCUCCUCUUAACCCUCUCUCUGAGCAGUCUCUGUCUCCAACACCUCAGUGAGCACUUGUCUUCUGUGGGGUGUCACUCAGACCCCUCAGGCCGUGGGACGGGAUAAAUCUUGCAGUUUGCCAAGAGCUGAUGUACUUGUGCUCUUUUGCAGCCUCUGCUUAUUGCCUUAAACAUGUAACAGCAUAGGCUGUGGUUGUAAAAAUACUUCAGAAACAAAGAGCUGGGCCCUAAUAAUUCAUUAGGUUUCCUAAACGUGACUUAAUAGACAGGGUACUUACACAUUUAUAUAGCAGCAAUUAUUUUAAUACUGAUGUUUGAUAACUAUGAAAUUGUUUUGUCGCAAUCUCCCUAUGCUUGCAAAUCAGCAAUUACUUUUAAUAAUUCACAAUGAAGCUCAUUAAGUGAUUAGGAGAAGGUGACCAGUCAGAACACUGUCUGCAACGAGGCCAGGUGACAGCGCCUGAUUACUUUUCUGAUACAGAUGCAUUUCAGACAAGAGCAAGCACUGUGUUUGCAUCGAAGUACAUUAGAAAACAUCUGCCAGAGGGGGCUGCGCAGUGGGGGAGAGGGCCAGAGCUUUUCUGCCACGUCUCCACUGAAGUUUCAGGAGUCGGUUGACUUUUUUCUCCCUUCAAAGAAUGAUGGGAGCAGACUGCUUUCCCAACUGGAGCAGUUUCACUGAACUGUAAACAGACGAUGCUUGAAAACCUGUCACUGAGCCUCCCCAUCAGAAGCAAGCAAACAGCAAUGGAAGUACCGGCUCAGAGCUGGUGAAAUAAAUAAGCCUUCACUGUGCACCCCACCAGCAGACAAACAUAGGCAUUCAUGCUAUAAGAGCUGCUGCACCAGGUGCUUUCCAAUGGCACAGAAGGACAAGGCCUGCCC